rnacentral:tRNA from 1 species
GGCGAGUUGAGCGGAACGGUAUCGCACCCGCCCCGAAAGCGGGCUGGCCCUCUGCCCCGAGGGUCUGGGAGUUCAAGUCUCCCACUCGCCGCCA